rnacentral:rRNA from 1 species
GUGCACGCUGGCGGUAGGCCUAACACAUGCAAGUCGCACGGCAGCACAGUAAGAGCUUGCUCUUACGGGUGGCGAGUGGCGGACGGGUGAGGAAUACAUCGGAAUCUACUUUUUCGUGGGGGAUAACGUAGGGAAACUUACGCUAAUACCGCAUACGACCUACGGGUGAAAGCAGGGGAUCUUCGGACCUUGCGCGAUUGAAUGAGCCGAUGUCGGAUUAGCUAGUUGGCGGGGUAAAGGCCCACCAAGGCGACGAUCCGUAGCUGGUCUGAGAGGAUGAUCAGCCACACUGGAACUGAGACACGGUCCAGACUCCUACGGGAGGCAGCAGUGGGGAAUAUUGGACAAUGGGCGCAAGCCCGAUCCAGCCAUACCGCGUGGGUGAAGAAGGCCUUCGGGUUGUAAAGCCCUUUUGUUGGGAAAGAAAAGCAGCAGGUUAAUACCCCGCUGUUCUGACGGUACCCAAAGAAUAAGCACCGGCUAACUUCGUG